rnacentral:rRNA from 1 species
GACGAACGCUGGCGGCGUGCCUAAUACAUGCAAGUCGAGCGGACUUUCAAGAAGCUUGCUUUUUGAAAGUUAGCGGCGGACGGGUGAGUAACACGUGGGCAACCUGCCUGCAAGACGGGGAUAACUCCGGGAAACCGGGGCUAAUACCGGAUAAUAUCUUCCUUCGCAUGAAGGAAGGUUGAAAGGCGGCGCAAGCUGCCGCUUGCAGAUGGGCCCGCGGCGCAUUAGCUAGUUGGUGAGGUAACGGCUCACCAAGGCGACGAUGCGUAGCCGACCUGAGGGGGUGCUCGGCCACACUGGGACUGAGACACGGCCCAGACUCCUACAGGAGGCAGCAGUAGGGAAUCUUCCGCAAUGGACGAAAGUCUGACGGAGCAACGCCGCGUGAGCGAAGAAGGUCUUCGGAUCGUAAAGCUCUGUUGUCAGGGAAGAACAAGUACCGUUCGAACAGGGCGGUACCUUGACGGUACCUGACCAGAAGGCCACGGCUAACUACGUG